AACGCGAAGAACCUUACCUGGGCUCGAAGCGCAGUGGACCGGGGUAGAAAUAUCCCUUUUCGCAAGAACUGCUGCGGAGGUGCUGCAUGGCUGUCGUCAGCUCGUGUCGUGAGAUGUUGGGUUAAGUCCCGCAACGAGCGCAACCCUUAUCUUUAGUUGCCAUCAGGUCAAGCUGGGCACUCUAACGAAACCGCCUCGGAUAACGGGGAGGAAGGUGGGGAUGACGUCAAGUCCUCAUGGCCUUUAUGUCCAGGGCUACACACGUGCUACAAUGGUCGGUACAAACCGUCGCAAACUCGCGAGAGGGAGCUAAUCGGAUAAAGCCGGCCUCAGUUCGGAUUGGAGUCUGCAACUCGACUCCAUGAAGCUGGAAUCGCUAGUAAUCGCGGAUCAGCACGCCGCGGUGAAUACGUUCCCGGGCCUUGUACACACCGGAGUA
rnacentral:rRNA from 1 species